GAAGAAGCUGUCAAGGAGGCUGAACAAGUCCUUCAAAGGUUCAACCCUUCACAGCUGAAAGGGAAGACCAAAGGAAGGGCUGUCAUGGGAUUUGAAUUUGACCAUCUUGUGCAUUUAUGGAGAAGACCAAAAGCUGCAAAGGCAAACACUUCCAAUGGAUUUCUCACAGAUUACUUAGUCCUUCUCCAUCAGCUCUCUACAAUAUCAGCCCGUCCAAAAGCUUCCACAUCUCUCUCUCUCGUGUGGCACAUCUGCUCUCAGUUCUUUACUGCCAACUUCCA